AUGAUGAGCAUGAAAAAAAAAAUGUUUGAAAAAGAGAAUGAGGAUUUCAAAGAAGAGGUUUUUAAACUGCACAAUGAGAUUUCGCGUCUCGAAAAUGCUCUGAAACACUCUGAAAAAAGAAACUAUUUAUUAGAUAAGCAAGUUCAAAGAAUGCGGUCAAAAAUGGACACAGAUGAGCAACUGUUCAAAAGGUUUGGCAAUGCUCAGGAAUCCCACUUAAGUUUGAAGUCUCAUUAUGUUGGAAAGAAAGGGCCAGUCAUCUGUUCCUGUACUGAACGUUUCUUCUUAGUUCAUUUGCAAAGUCGAAAGCGUAUUUUUAAUGGUACGACCUCAGUCAGUGGAUUUGAGCAUCAGCAUAGGAACUCUUUUCUGUUUCUGUAUGCCUCUCACGUGAUUUGGAAGUGCUACAUUUGUGUUAAUUUGGAUCAUGCCCCUUCCUGCCAAACUGUCUCCAGUACAGCUACCUGUAUAGGUAACCCUUCACAGUCACUGCAGUCUGUCAGUUGA
rnacentral:lncRNA from 1 species